rnacentral:rRNA from 1 species
AGAGACCGGCGCACGGGUGCGUAACGCGUAUGCAAUCUACCUUUCACAGAGGGAUAGCCCAGAGAAAUUCGGAUUAAUACCUCAUAGUAUAUCGAGUUGGCAUCAACAUGAUAUUAAAGUCACAACGGUGAAAGAUGAGCAUGCGUCCCAUUAGCUAGUUGGUAAGGUAACGGCUUACCAAGGCAACGAUGGGUAGGGGUCCUGAGAGGGAGAUCCCCCACACUGGUACUGAGACACGGACCAGACUCCUACGGGAGGCAGCAGUGAGGAAUAUUGGACAAUGGGCGCAAGCCUGAUCCAACCAUGCCGCGUGCAGGAUGACGGUCCUAUGGAUUGUAAACUGCUUUUAUACAGGAAGAAACAACUCUACGUGUAGAGUCUUGACGGUAUCGUAAGAAUAAGGAUCGGCUAACUCCGUGCCAGCAGCCGCGGUAAUACGGAGGAUCCAAGCGUUAUCCGGAAUCAUUGGGUUUAAAGGGUCCGUAGGCGGUCAGAUAAGUCAGUGGUGAAAGCCCAUCGCUAAACGGUGGAACGGCCAUUGAUA